GUCUACGGCCAUACCACCCUGAACGUGCCCGAUCUCGAUCUUGUCUGAUCUCGGAAGCUAAGCAGGGUCGGGUCUGGUUAGUACUUGGAUGGGAGAUGGUAUCUCAUUGUGGUUU
rnacentral:rRNA from 1 species